GGGUGCAAUCAUACCAAAAUUAAUGCACCGGAUCCCAUCAGAACUCCACAGUUAAGCGUGCUUGGGAUAGAGUAAUACUGGGAUGGGUGACCUUCUGGGAAGUCCUAGUAUUGCACCCU
rnacentral:rRNA from 1 species